GAGAUUUAUUAACUUUAACUUGUAUAUUAGUAAAAUCGAUUAUUAUGUCAUUACACCGCGUAUAUUUAUAUAUAUUUAUAUACAUGAUUAAUUGAUGUAUCACGAAAAAAAGCCGACGAUACGUGAUGUUAUGUAUAAGUUCAUUUUUAUCUCCUUGACAGUUUCAGAUAUCAAUAUAUCUCUUUUGAGCCAACUUGUACUUCUCCACCGUUGCCUACGACCACCUGGGGCUGUGUAGUGGAAGUGCUGUGGAAAAACAUCCAGCAACCACCUUUUUACUGUUUAAUUAUAUCAUAAUUUUGUUAAACAUUUUUAUAAAUCUCUUAAAUUUGACUUUCGCUAUUUUAAGGAACACUUCUACUGGAGGACAUUGCAGACUUGUAGUCUAUUUACCGAGGCUUAGACCCUCUUCGUCGAGGCCUUCAACUAACUGAAGGUACAAAUAACAACAUUCAUCGCUGGAUAUUUAUCAGUCCAUUGGUACCCCUGGAGAGCAAAUUCAGGAAAGCAGCAGAAUUACUGCUACAAGUUUCAGCUAAGGACUAGAAGCAUCGCAACACCAGGUAGAUGCACUAGGAUUAUCAGUGAUAGGAGCAACGGGACAUACAUGAAAAUGAAGAUUAAAUUUCUAUUUUUUAUUUCUAUUGUAUUUUGUAUUAUUAUUGUCAACUUUUGUAUUUUUUGAGUUUUAGUAAUAAAAAAAUGUUAACGCAA